AUACGGAGGGGGCGAGCGUUGUUCGGAUUUACUGGGCGUGAAGGGCGCGUAGGCGGCGCGACACGUCAGGGGUGAAAGGCCCGGGCUCAACCUGGGAACUGCCUUUGAAACUGUCGUGCUAGAGACCGGGAGAGGAUGGCGGAAUUCCCAGUGUAGAGGUGAAAUUCGUAGAUAUUGGGAAGAACACCGGUGGCGAAGGCGGCCAUCUGGACCGGUACUGACGCUGAGGUGCGAAAGCGUGGGGAGCAAACAGGAUUAGAAACCCCGGUAGUCC
rnacentral:rRNA from 1 species